rnacentral:sRNA from 1 species
AAGACAACGUGCGGCCACCGCGGCCCGAGC